AACCGGUACGAGCAAGAGAAACGAAGAAAAAAACGUACACAUGACCCAGCCUCCCGAUCCCCUUGCAGCCGUCAUCGCCGCCCGACCAUGGAGUCCCGGCCGCCAGCUCCCUGGAGAUUUCCGCCUCCCUAAAAGUCCAGGUCUCUAGUCCAGCGCGCCGCCACCUCCUACCCCGCACGCCUCACCAUGCGCCUCCGGUCCGCCCCCCGUCGCCGCACCCCGUCAGUCCCCUGCCCCCCGUCACAGCGCGCCGCCGGACCGCCUACCGUCGCUGGCUCUCCCCAGCCCCGAGGUCACAUCUCUUCCGGAGAUCCUCUCCAACCCGUAGUUCCUCGCAGAGGGCACCCACUCACACCGGCAUGUUAAGAGGAGGUACGUCGCCCCUCCUUGCGGAUGCAUGGACGAGGGUCUCACGCUGCCGCCGGCAGCGGCAACUGCAGCGGACCACGUGCUCCGGCGUAGUCAGGGGAAAGCAGCGGCUCCGACUCCAAUGUUGGCCUUGGCGGAAGCACGAAGGGGUCACACUGGGCGGCACUGUGGCAGGGGACAGGGUGUUGGGUUUCACGGUAAGAUCGUCUAUUGGUGGAUUCCGUCUGGAUUGGAGCAGUGCAACAGGAACAGUAUCGGGGGUGGUAGUGGUCCAGGACAUGGGGACGGGGAGAGGAGAGAUAGCUGUGAGCACGAGGUCCUUGCCGGCUGAAUCGAAUCAAAGCACUCCGUCCAUCUCUAUUGGCCUUGGACGAACAAGGCAAUAAGGAUGGGAGAUCAACAUAUUGUUGUUUUCUCUGGUUAAUGUGAAGUUCCGGUCUAUCUAAAAAGCAGCUAAUGUCUAGCAAUCUGCAGCAAGAACUCUAUCCACUCAUCUGGUCCAACUUACACCCAUGGAAUUCUCCAUCCACAUCUCUCUGUUCGUGAAAGCAACUGCUAAAUUUGUAUGGUAAGAGUGGUCGCGUACAUGCAUUCCAUUGGCUACUAAAUUAAUUAAUUUCCCGUGAAUUACAAUAGAAUUUAAUUAGGAGGGCAAGUAAUUAUUGGUGAUAUCUACUUGUUUUAUUUUUGUAGGUGUGAUUGUAGUCUUAGAUCUUUGUAGAAUUUUGUAAUGUGGCUCAGAUGUGUUGCGUGAAUUUAGAUAGCUUUGAUGUCUGAAUAUAUACAUUUUGUAGAUCUCCUGUCCUUACUGAAGUUAAAGUUCUGAAAUAAAUCUUCAGAAACAAUGAUGUUAUGUCUGAAACCGAUCUGAGUAGUGAGCCGAAUUAACAAUUAUUUUCUCUGUUCUUAAUCAGUACAUAACACCUGUUUUCUUAGUUGUUAACUUAAGAUUCGACCACUAUGAGCAGCAUUGCAGCAAUCGGCCAGAGGCUUCCAGUUUUUCAUUUGAAUGUGCUAGAGAGAUGUUUCUUUGCUUCAUUUUCAUUUGAAUGUGCUGAUGAAGAGUUGAAGCUAGAAGAAGCCCAACCGUCAAAUAAUCCUGAAGACCUAUGGGUUUGUCACCGAAGUGUUGAGCUUAGUAAGAGAUGACAUAAACUGUGAGCUUUCAUCCGACAAAGUUGUGCUGGUGUCUGGUUGGAAAACAUGUUUCCUAUUACCACCACCCCUAGCAGCUCACAUUUGUUUCGUAAUAUCUCUAGCAAUUUCUCUAAAUCCAUUUUUAUAUGGCCUGAUGAUUCAUCAUCAAAUGCCACGCAUGUUGUGUGCCUUCAGAAUGAGGUGUUUCAUGUGGAAGGCCAAAGGAUCCUUCAGUUUGCUUUCUCAAUGUUUGACUAAAUAUUUCAUUCAUGUUCAACAGACCUUAUGAGAAAUCGACGGAGGCAGUGCGUGAGCUAGCUUCCUUGUGGCCGGAUUGAUACAGGCACUGCAUGAGGAACCGAGCCACCGAUGCAGGUCGGCGCUGGCUCCAUUGCACAUGGCAGCCGCCACCACACCUGCCGUCUCCGCAUCUGAACAACCGCUGCUUUGUGAGCCGCCUCAUCUAGCGAGGAUGCUGCUGCUGCUGAGGACGCAGGAGCCGCCUCAUCCGGUGAAGACUCGCCGCUGUUCCACAGUGAGGCCGCCGCUGGAGCGGUUUUUUCCGCACUAAUAGCAGUCCGCCUGUAGAGCUCCACAGAUAGAGUUGGAUGUGUUCGAUGAUGGAGCUACCUGCGUUGGCUGUGUUGUCGGUUUUCAGCUCCUAGAUGAGAAGGAAAGGAUGUACUUGAGCAAUAUGAGAAGACCCAGUUCCAUUAUCUCACAAGCCAGAAGUCUCCCAUUUACUGACUUUGGUACUAUUUUUUAAAAGAAUGGUCAAUCCGCUAUCAGCACCAUGAUUAUGUGUCAAUUGUAGAUUCUUAAUUGCUUAGAAUUAUUUUAUUUGCUUAAUUCCUUCUGUUGAUAUUUAUUGAACAACAAAAUAUUUUCAAGAUUGGUCCGUGUGAGGAUCAAACAUGUGAAUGGAUGUGGCAUCAAGCUAAGUCUGUUGAUACCUUGCUCACCUUUUUGUUUUGCUUUGAGUGGGUUAUGACUUACUUUCUGAUUGUUGUUUGUGAGAAAAUACCACCUCUAUUUGUCUCUCUGAAUUAUCAUUGGUCAUUGCGACAAGGGUGAUUCAGAGUUGUAGGUUGUAUGCUGGUCUAAUAUGGCAGGUCCCACAAAGAAAACAUACAAGGGAGUUGUUUAGUUCAGAUGUGCACGGGAAUGGGCUCACUGGGAUCUUGGUAGGAGGUGAAUCUUGUGGUCAUGAGCCUGGACAUCACGCUGGUGCGCUUCCUAGGGAGGUGCGUCCAUGCGCUGUGCUUGGAUGGCGAAUCGAGAUGAGGCUUAGUGGCUGCUCGCCUCUCUGAAUCACGGCUACGAAACUUGGUGGCUGUUCACCUAAUGGAGAUCGAAAAUGGCGUCGAGUUAUUUCAUGGGCUAAUUGUUGUGAGUGCCAACGAUUUCAUUUUGACCAUAUAGGACCAGCCUAUGUCAUUGCCGGUAGCAACGAUAUAACAACCUAAACGUCGCUGAUACCAAAUACUCAUCUGUUCCUAAAUAUACGUCUUUUUAGACAUUUCUAAUGAAUUACGACAUAUCGGAUGUA